GGGUCAGUAGGUUGGUCGUGCCACCGGUACGUACUGGUCUCACUGAUUCCUCCUUCCUGAAGAACCGUAAUGCCAUUAAUUUGGUGUUGCGGGGAAACAAGACUGUUACUUUGAAAAAAUUAGAGUGUUUAAAGCAAGCUAACGCUUGAAUACAUUAGCAUGGAAUAAUGAAAUAGGACGAUCGAUCCCAUUUUGUUGGUUUCUAGGAUUGACGUA
rnacentral:rRNA from 1 species